UAGAGGUACUAAAAGGCUAAAAGUCUUUUCUAUAGAACAUAGGCAUUUUCAGAGUCUUCUUGAAACAGGAGAACCAGCUAAGAGAUAAUACCUCUGAGGUGAGCUGAUACCACUAGCUUUUUAAGAUAGAUUUAACUUGGCAUAUUUAAGGAGAUAAUGAAGCUUUCUGUGAAUAUCAGGGCAGCUUCCUUAUGGUUUCUCUUCUCCCUGUCCAUGAUAGCUAAUCAAGAGUGACAGUAGGAGAGCAAAUAGUGAAGCUAUUCCUUUAACCCAAAUAUUUGAGAUGUAGUGCUGAGUAGACACUUAUGACCGGUGAUGAACCUACAAAUACAAUUUCUUCUAUUUUCUUAUAAUUUUACAUUACCAUAGAGCAAGUAGUUAUAUUCAGAGACAUUUUUUUUUUUUCCACACUGCUCGAACUGCCAAUCAAUGGCUGCAGCACAGGACAUAAAUACAUGCUUUCUCAUGCAGGUGUUAGAAAAAAGGAAGAAAAAUUGUGAGAAGCUAUUUGAGAAGAAAGACCAUUCGCUGGAUCACAGCAUCUCUACAAUAUAUACAAUCAUCCUUCAUGAUUAAGAAAAUAUCAAGUGUUGUGUGCUAGGAAUAGGAAGGUGGAGAGGUCUUCCAAUUAUACCUGAAAGUAGUUAUGAUUUGGAAAAAAAGGGAAGAGAACAUAGGACAGGAGGAGACAUAUCUCAAUUGAUUGAGUGGUUACUUCCUGCCCAGAAAUAAAGAAAUAAAUGCCCAGCCCCAGAAAUCCAGGUGCUCACAGGAACUGAAAGAAAGGAAAGAAGCGGACAGGAGGACAUUUUACUUUUAGUAAAUGAAUUUAGCAUCCUUUUGAGGGGAAGAUAUAAUUCUUCAAAGUUAAGGGAGAAUUGCCUCAAAUGUCCAUAUUGGCAUGAGCUUCUUGAGCAAGAAGGGACAGGUGGCAGUGAGAUGAGCUGCUUACUAGUUUACAAGGACAGAUCUGAGUGCCUCUUCCUUCGGCCAUUUUUCUCUAUAUUUUUCAAUCUCCUUUCUGUCAUCCCAGUAACCAAUUCAACAAGUAAUACAUAAAGCCUCAAUGAAGUGAACCAAUGCUCAAGUUUUGUCAAGUUGUUUUGUACUAUACUUGUUGGGAAUUAGUAUACAGGGCGUGGACAUGAGUCCAUGGAACAAUUGUUCAAUCUGAGCUUCCCUUAAGCAAUCAGGAGUAGGCCUUAGAAAAUCUCAUGGCCUGCUGUAGCUGAGCAAACCAAGCUACCAGAGUAACUGUGAGAAGCUCCCACGGCAGUGACUCCCACAUCGCCCAAUUAAGGAACUCAGAAAAAUAUUGUUACCAGCAGCUGGCCUCAAGGACAAGGUCUACGUGACUGCUAAUCACAAGGGGGGUUCUCUUCUUGCAGGUGGGGUUGUUAUCUUAUAAUUGUUUGUCUGAGUGCUUUUGUCCAAUAAUCUUGUGUGAAACACUAUCCACCUCUGUCAAAUUCACUAUAAAAGCUAGGCUAUUCGGGCAAUAAAAUGAAGUUCACUGAUCACUCAUAUUGAGCGUCUGUGUCUUCCCUCCGUCGACAACAUAUACUAAUCUAUUUUAUUUGUCUUUCAAGGUCCACGUGUUUAAUGGAACUCAUUUCAGAUAGCUGUUGCUUUAAUUUUUUCCCCAUAAAAUCAGCUGUGCUAUAUUACUG
ensembl:lncRNA